rnacentral:rRNA from 1 species
UACGUAGGCAGCGAGCGUUGUUCGGAGUUACUGGGCGUAAAGGGUGCGUAGGCGGUUGUUUAAGUUUGGUGUGAAAUCUCCCGGCUCAACUGGGAGGGUGCGCCGAAUACUGAAUGACUAGAGUGCGGGAGAGGAGAGUGGAAUUCCUGGUGUAGCGGUGAAAUGCGUAGAUAUCGGGAGGAACACCUGUGGCGAAAGCGGCUCACUGGACCACAACUGACGCUGAGGCGCG